rnacentral:rRNA from 1 species
UCGAGAAUCUUCCGCAAUGGGCGAAAGCCUGACGGAGCGACGCCGCGUGUAGGAUGAAGGCCCUCGGGUUGUAAACUACUGUCACGGGUUAUGAAUGUGCAUAUGUUAACAGCGUGUGUAUUGACGUAAGCCCGAAAGGAAGCACCGGCUAACUCUGUGCCAGCAGCCGCGGUAAUACAGAGGGUGCAAACGUUGUUCGGAAUUACUGGGCAUAAAGCGCACGUAGGCGGAUAGUUAAGUCAGGGGUGAAAUCCUGGGGCUCAACCCCAGAACUGCCUUUGAUACUGGCUGUCUCGAGGUCGAGAGAGGUUGGUGGAAUUCCUAGUGUAGAGGUGAAAUUCGUAGAUAUUAGGAAGAACACCAGUGGCGAAGGCGGCCAACUGGCUCGAUACUGACGCUGAGGUGCGAAAGCGUGGGGAGCAAACAGGAUUAGAUACCCUAGUAGUCCCUGAGCGGGCUGGCAAGGCGCAU